CCUACGGGAGGCAGCAGUGGGGAAUAUUGCACAAUGGGCGAAAGCCUGAUGCAGCGACGCCGCGUGAGGGAUGACGGCCUUCGGGUUGUAAACCUCUUUCAGCAGGGAAGAAGCGCAAGUGACGGUACCUGCAGAAGAAGCACCGGCUAACUACGUGCCAGCAGCCGCGGUAAUACGUAGGGUGCGAGCGUUGUCCGGAAUUAUUGGGCGUAAAGAGCUCGUAGGCGGCUUGUCACGUCGGGUGUGAAAGCCCGGGGCUUAACCCCGGGUCUGCAUUCGAUACGGGCAGGCUUGAGUGUGGUAGGGGAGAUCGGAAUUCCUGGUGUAGCGGUGAAAUGCGCAGAUAUCAGGAGGAACACCGGUGGCGAAGGCGGAUCUCUGGGCCAUUACUGACGCUGAGGAGCGAAAGCGUGGGGAGCGAACAGGAUUAGAUACCCUGGUAGUCCACGCCGUAAACGUUGGGAACUAGGUGUUGGCGACAUUCCACGUCGUCGGUGCCGCAGCUAACGCAUUAAGUUCCCCGCCUGGGGAGUACGGCCGCAAGGCUAAAACUCAAAGNGAUGACGNGNGAGNGNGACGAGACGACGACGAGGAGAG
rnacentral:rRNA from 1 species